UCGGUGCCGCAGCUAACGCAUUAAGUACUCCGCCUGGGAAGUACGCUCGCAAGAGUGAAACUCAAAGGAAUUGACGGGGACCCGCCCAAGUAGCGGAGCAUGUGGUUUAAUUCGAAGCAACGCGAAGAACCUUACCUAAGCUUGACAUCCCAAUGACAUCUCCUUAAUCGGAGAGUUCCCUUCGGGGACAUUGGUGACAGGUGGUGCAUGGUUGUCGUCAGCUCGUGUCGUGAGAUGUUGGGUUAAGUCCCGCAACGAGCGCAACCCUUGUCUUUAGUUGCCAUCAUUAAGUUGGGCACUCUAGAGAGACUGCCA
rnacentral:rRNA from 1 species